rnacentral:rRNA from 1 species
GUGCCAGCCGCCGCGGUAAUACGUAGGGUCCGAGCGUUAUCCGGAAUCAUUGGGCGUAAAGAGCUCGUAGGCGGUUCAGCAAGUCGGCUGUGAAAGUCCGGGGCUCAACCCCGGAAUUGCAGUCGAUACUGCUGUGACUCGAGUCCGGUAGAGGAGAACGGAAUUCCCGGUGUAGCGGUGAAAUGCGCAGAUAUCGGGAGGAACACCAGUAGCGAAGGCGGUUCUCUGGGCCGGCACUGACGCUGAGGAGCGAAAGCGUGGGGAGCAAACAGGAUUAGAUACCCCAGUAGUCC